GGAGGUAAAAGAUCAGAGAUAUCAAAGAAAUCACAAAAUCUCUGAGCAACGGAUCAACAAUCAACCCAACUGGAGUACAGAAAGUCACAACAGGUGUCGCAACCUGAAAAAUACAGUGUGCGAAAAAACAACCGGGGAAAGAAAAUGACAGAAGAGUCGCCACCGUGCGUUAUUUAUCCCAAGGGAGGGAAAGGAAACGCUCGAAGUAAACCUGAAAAAGGAAAGGACAAGACGGGGUCUCGC
rnacentral:lncRNA from 1 species